AUUGAUUCUUACAGUCAUCUGGUUUCAUUUGACUCUUUUAUUUUGGUUAAAAUGAUUUUCCUUUGUCUAUUGGAUGAUUGACUGAACAUCUUUUUGGCCCACUCAAAUGGCCCAACCUCAGUACGGAGACCUACCUUUAUAUUCCUCAAUAUGUAUGAAGCACCAGUACAAUUUAGAGGGGAGCACAGGUAAUUCAGAUUGAGUUCAAAGUCUCCUGAAUUUUGAAUAAAUGUGUAGAUUUGAGAAAAAUUGAAAUACA
rnacentral:lncRNA from 12 species